GACAUAUUUAAUUUUUUUCCUCUUUUUUUCUUGGGUGGGUGGGGGGAGCUUGGAGCUGUCUUAAUCUGUAUUCUCUUGACUGAACAAUAAAUUUUUAAAUAUAUAUAGUUUCCUCUAUUAAACACUUAAACCUGGCCAUCUUAUUAACUCCUUCUGCUCUCUUUUUAACAAGGUAAUGUUUUAAAUGUAUAGUUUUAGGACUAGCGAAAUGGCAGCAACAAAAAAUUGUAAGCAGUUGUUACUUUUAAGCUUUUAAAAAACCUUUUACAUUGUAAGUACCCAAUCCAUUCUAUCCUUACGCAGUGCAGUUUUCAUGUUAAUGUUGCUGAGAUGUCCUUAAUUUUCUGAACCUUCAUCUGCAUGUAUGUCUUUGUCGCUCUUGUCUAAUAUAAGCCAGUGAAAAUGCUUUUAGACGAUUUUGCUUUUAUAAAUCUAAGGUUUUCUAGCUUUAAGCUUUUGAAAAUGUUUAAAGCAAUAAAUGCUAGUCAGCUUUAUUCCCAGUAACAUGUACACGUUCUUUGAAAAUCGAUCUAUUUGAAGAAAAACAGCUCUGUUUUUCUCGUCUUGGUAGGGGGGUGGGUGAGGGAAAGGAAGACCUUCUCUUUGUGUACAGAGUCUAAAGCCGUCACAGGAAACUAGAUUAAAACUGGAAAACAAGUCCUAGCUGGUUCGAGCCAAACACCAACGUUAACUCGCGGGUAUUUUCUAUGGUGGUUGGGAUGGCCGUGCGUCUUUUGCCUUUUGUUUGAUUUGACUGUGUAUUUUCGCCUUUUGUCUCUUAAUGACGAUCACACCAUUGCUAUAUCCAGAGCAGUAAACAGUCCUCAGCGAAGCCGCCUUUUGCCAACCCAACCCUGGAAAGUUUGCAGAAGUGGAAGGAGCAGAAAAUGCCAUGAGAGUGUAACUUACAAAAAGGCUCUUGGCUGGAGAAAGGGCGACGGCCAGGUAUCCCCAGAGUGAACCAUCCUCCUUUGGACAGCAGGAUCUGGCCUAAUUUCACUCUGACAAUACUCUAAGGGAUGUUAGGACCAGAGGACAGAAUUUGAGUCUAGACAUCCGGAGGGGAAAAUUAAUAACCCUCUGCCGCUCCGAAUGGCCAACCUUCGGCUUUGGAUGGCCAACCGAAGGAACUUUCUGCCUCCCUAUAAUUGCCAAGGUGAAGUCAAAGAUUUUUCUACCGGGUCGCGAGGGACACCCAGAUCAGAUUCCCUUACAUUCUAGAUGUACAAGGCAUGUACAUCUACAUGGCAAGAUUUGGUGGAAAAUCCACCCCUUUGGUUGGCCCCCUUCCUGUCCUCAGGAACAUGUAAGGUCCUUGCCAUGCGGACUGCAGAUCCCCCAAAACCAAAGACGCCAUCCGCGCCCUUGUAUCCCAUGUUGCCUGAUAGUCAGGACCUACUAUCCCUAGACCCUCCACCCUAUCAUCCCCCUCCCCUCGUA